ACCUUAUCAAGAGAAAGCAGAGGGAUUUGGCCCGAUGACGCUUCAGCAACCUCUAACAACAGUUAGAAAGGUGCUAAUUCCAGCAAAGGAUUUAUCCUUUGAGAGAUAAGAG
rnacentral:ncRNA from 2 species